AUAAACCUCUGUGAUCACGGAGAAAACCCCCAAUGGAACAGGGACCAGGAUUCCCUCACAAAGAGCCAUCCACCUUCCGUUUCACACAAUCAGAUGAAGCAGACCAGAAGGAAAGUGGAUGAGGAUGUCCAAACUGAGUCUAUGAAAAGACCCAUGGGCUAAAGUCUUCCACUCUACAAUGGGACAUAAAAUGGGGCUCAGCAAUCAAAAAUUAAUAUACCGCUAUCUUAGGAUCCAAGUCCAAACAUUCCAAGAAUAGGGGCAGUGUAGGAAAGAUGAGCUUCUGUUUCUCCUUGUACCAUAAAACGAGGACAGAUAUGUUGCGAAGGAUCUAGAAUACCAAUGGAAGACAACCAAUUUUUCGUCCAUAACCUAUCCUGACGUGCCAACCAUACCAACAAUUUCGCCUUUGGAGCUGCAAGCCUACACCAUAUGUUAACAGAAAAAUCUUGGGAUUGGAAAGAAGCAUUUAACAAGCAUUUGUAGAAAGAAUUGUCUGACAAAACUCCAUUCAGUGAUGGUUCCACAUUAGCCUAUCAUUCCUUGAGGACACAGCUUGAAAGAGCUCAACAGAGAAAGAAGAUUAGCAAGCAACUGCAGCUCCCAAUCAUAUGGGUUACGAGGCCAAUAAAAAACCAAUUGCCAAUAAUUAUUAGUCCAAGUGCCAAAAUCACAGAUGUGCCCCUAUGGAAGAACAGAUAAAUUAAACAGGCCGGAAAUUGGAAUUUAAGUGCUACGUACAAUACCCAAAUGGAUUGGAUAACCUUUGGAAAGUAUUGUUCCUUAGUUCCUUACCUUCUUUUUUUCCUCCAUGGCAAAAGGU
rnacentral:misc_RNA from 1 species